GCCGGUUAACCGCGCCUACGCGCGUGGCCGACAACAGGCUCUCUCUCGCCGACGAAUUCCCAUAAAUUGAUUCAGCAUUCGCGCCUUCGGGCGCGA
rnacentral:sRNA from 10 species